rnacentral:rRNA from 1 species
GCGGGGUGCUAUACAUGCAAGUCGAACGAACUCUGGUAUUGAUUGGUGCUUGCAUCAUGAUUUACAUUUGAGUGAGUGGCGAACUGGUGAGUAACACGUGGGAAACCUGCCCAGAAGCGGGGGAUAACACCUGGAAACAGAUGCUAAUACCGCAUAACAACUUGGACCGCAUGGUCCGAGCUUGAAAGAUGGCUUCGGCUAUCACUUUUGGAUGGUCCCGCGGCGUAUUAGCUAGAUGGUGGGGUAACGGCUCACCAUGGCAAUGAUACGUAGCCGACCUGAGAGGGUAAUCGGCCACAUUGGGACUGAGACACGGCCCAAACUCCUACGGGAGGCAGCAGUAGGGAAUCUUCCACAAUGGACGAAAGUCUGAUGGAGCAACGCCGCGUGAGUGAAGAAGGGUUUCGGCUCGUAAAACUCUGUUGUUAAAGAAGAACAUAUCUGAGAGUAACUGUUCAGGUAUUGACGGUAUUUAACCAGAAAGCCACGGCUAACUACGUGCCAGCAGCCGCGGUAAUACGUAGGUGGCAAGCGUUGUCCGGAUUUAUUGGGCGUAAAGCGAGCGCAGGCGGUUUUUUAAGUCUGAUGUGAAAGCCUUCGGCUCAACCGAAGAAGUGCAUCGGAAACUGGGAAACUUGAGUGCAGAAGAGGACAGUGGAACUCCAUGUGUAGCGGUGAAAUGCGUAGAUAUAUGGAAGAACACCAGUGGCGAAGGCGGCUGUCUGGUCUGUAACUGACGCUGAGGCUCGAAAGUAUGGGUAGCAAACAGGAUUAGAUACCCUGGUAGUCCAUACCGUAAACGAUGAAUGCUAAGUGUUGGAGGGUUUCCGCCCUUCAGUGCUGCAGCUAACGCAUUAAGCAUUCCGCCUGGGGAGUACGGCCGCAAGGCUGAAACUCAAAGGAAUUGACGGGGGCCCGCACAAGCGGUGGAGCAUGUGGUUUAAUUCGAAGCUACGCGAAGAACCUUACCAGGUCUUGACAUACUAUGCAAAUCUAAGAGAUUAGACGUUCCCUUCGGGGACAUGGAUACAGGUGGUGCAUGGUUGUCGUCAGCUCGUGUCGUGAGAUGUUGGGUUAAGUCCCGCAACGAGCGCAACCCUUAUUAUCAGUUGCCAGCAUUAAGUUGGGCACUCUGGUGAGACUGCCGGUGACAAACCGGAGGAAGGUGGGGAUGACGUCAAAUCAUCAUGCCCCUUAUGACCUGGGCUACACACGUGCUACAAUGGAUGGUACAACGAGUUGCGAACUCGCGAGAGUAAGCUAAUCUCUUAAAGCCAUUCUCAGUUCGGAUUGUAGGCUGCAACUCGCCUACAUGAAGUCGGAAUCGCUAGUAAUCGCGGAUCAGCAUGCCGCGGUGAAUACGUUCCCGGGCCUUGUACACACCGCCCGUCACACCAUGAGAGUUUGUAACACCCAAAGUCGGUGGGGUAACCUUUUAGGAACCAGCCGCCUAAGGUGGGACAGAUGAUUAGGGGGAAGUCGUAACAAGAGCCACC